AUCCAAGCAUGGAAACCAGGGAAAUUGCCA
rnacentral:piRNA from 1 species